rnacentral:lncRNA from 1 species
UCUAUCUUCUCCCACUGGUGGUCAGGGUACUAUCCAAGAUAAUUUUUGUUACGCAAAAAGUAGACUUGUGAGCAUCUAUGUACUUGUGUAUUCUUUGGUUUUGCUCACGAACUACUUCAUGUCAUAAACAACGAAUCAAGAAAGAAGGAAAAUCAAAUGAAAAGUACAUGAUUAAUAUUAUUGGUGAAGAAUUUGUCCAUAAAUUUAUUUUUUAUUUCUCGAAGAAGGACAAAUGAAUGUUUUAUUUACGAGUAUUCAAAAAUACAUCCCAUGUAGAUGUAAUUUUGCAAAAGAAGAACGGUGAAAAGAGAUCUCAGAGCUACAAUUAAUAUUUAUAUAUUUAUCUUUUCUAUAUUAACAUUUGUGUUCAAAUUCAUUUGACUAAGUUAUAAGAUUAAUUAUGAAUAUCUGUUAAAUGUUCUUGCCUGUGCGGUAACUUUGUAAACUUGAACUUUUCAUGUGCCUUAAGAUAAAAAUUUUGUUUGUUAAGAUUUGUAUGUGUUGUAAAUUGAUUGUAUGCAGAAAAUGUUAUCAUUUCAAUUGCAUUUAAAUCAAUUGAGAAUGAAGUAAUAAAUAAGCUAACAUAAA